rnacentral:rRNA from 1 species
CACGCCGUAAACGAUGGGCACUAGGUGUGGGGGGUGUCGACUCCCUCCGUGCCGAAGCUAACGCAUUAAGUGCCCCGCCUGGGGAGUACGGCCGCAAGGCUAAAACUCAAAGGAAUUGACGGGGGCCCGCACAAGCAGCGGAGCAUGUGGUUUAAUUCGAAGCAACGCGAAGAACCUUACCUGGGCUUGACAUGUGCCUGACCGCCGUGGAAACACGGUUUCCCUUCGGGGCAGGUUCACAGGUGG